GACAGAGGAUGCAAGCGUUAUCCGGAAUGAUUGGGCGUAAAGCGUCUGUAGGUGGCUUUUUAAGUCCGCCGUCAAAUCCCAGGGCUCAACCCUGGACAGGCGGUGGAAACUACCAAGCUGGAGUACGGUAGGGGCAGAGGGAAUUUCCAGUGGAGCGGUGAAAUGCGUAGAUAUUGGAAAGACCACCAACGGCGAAAGCACUCUGCUGGGCCGACACUGACACUGAGAGACGAAAGCUAGGGGAGCGAAUGGG
rnacentral:rRNA from 1 species